GAUGAACGCUAGCGAUAGGCUUAACACAUGCAAGUCGAGGGGCAGCAUGGUCUUAGCUUGCUCAGACUGAUGGCGACCGGCGCACGGGUGCGUAACGCGUAUGCAACUUGCCUCACAGAGGGGGAUAACCCGUCGAAAGACGGACUAAUACCGCGUACACUCCAUCUUGGGCAUCCAAGGUAGAGGAAAUGAAAUUCGCUGUGAGAUAGGCAUGCGUCCCAUUAGCUAGUUGGUGAGGUAACGGCUCACCAAGGCGACGAUGGGUAGGGGAACUGAGAGGUUGAACCCCCACACUGGUACUGAGACACGGACCAGAAUCCUACGGGAGGCAGCAGUGAGGAAUAUUGGUCAAUGGGCGAGAGCCUGAACCAGCCAAGUCGCGUGAAGGAUGACUGUCUUAUGGAUUGUAAACUUCUUUUAUACGGGAAUAACAAGAGUCACGUGUGACUCCCUGCAUGUACCGUAUGAAUAAGCAUCGGCUAACUCCGUG
rnacentral:rRNA from 1 species